UGUAUCGGUACAUCGUAAUUGUUCUAUUGUAAAUUUGUUCAAAUGUAGGUACACCAAAGAAGUGAUUAUGAUUAAGUUCGCUGCUCGUCCAGAAGAAGCCGAAGGAAAUUGUCAAAGCGCGGAAGUAGGAAAGUGUAGAUCCGGGAUUGACACGUACGCACUACGUUCCAUCGGGAAACUUUCCACGAAAGCUAACAUUUCUGGAAUAAAUCCGUGCAAAGAAUGAACAAAAAAGAUUUACACGCAUCUUCCGGAGCUAGAGUGAAAUUCCAGCUGAUAUUGGAACAGAUGGUUAGAACUUAUAAGCGAAAAAGAGACCAAUAUUAGUCGGACACCAGUUUGGAGAAUGUUAUGAAAGCUAUAGAAGAAGGUUUGUCUGUUCUGGGUGCUUCAAAACAGUUCGGUGUGCCAGAACCAACUUUGAGACGCUAUCGACGAAAAUACCCAGACAAGGAGGAUACGUCGUCCAAUAAAGGCCGCCUUAAAGCCACAUUCAGGUCCAGCUUAGAAGAAUUGCCUAUUCGUUUGAGGUUAAAAAUGGCAUAGAGCACCCUUUCAAAGGAACAUGCGCUGGACGGACAUGGGUUGAAAUGUUUAUGAAGGCUCAUAAGCUAUCGUUGAGAAAGCCAGAAAAUACCUCAGCAACUCGAUUAAUGGCGUUCAAUAAAGAAAAUUGUGACUUAUUUUUUCGAACUUUGGGAGAUUUACGAGCUCAGUUCGUGGAGGCGAUCUGGCGUAGUGGUAACAUCCAUGCCUCUCACGCUGAAGGUCCCGAGUUCAAUUCUCACUCCCGACAUUCUUCCAAAAAUGGAAGUAAAAGUGACGAACCAGCCAAAUGAGUUGAAAAUCACUAUAAUACAAAUAAAAAAAAAAACGAGCUCAGUAUCUUUUUUCUGCGUGUGACAUUUACAGUGUUGAUGAAAAUGGCAUUUCCACUGUUCCAACCAAGGAUAAAUAAAUAAUUGUUAUUAUAUUUUGUUGAUUUUUAGGUGACCAAACCAUAUUCGCCAGCUUGCCUCCAGGCAUUCGCCAUCUUGCCUCCACGUGGAGGCAAGAUGGCGAAUUCGACACUUCUUGCGCAAAGCUUUUGGGUGGACAAGUUUUUUAGUUUUUUUGCCCAUCCAAUAGAUAAUAUGAUAGAAAACACUUCAGGCUAUAUGAAUCAGCAUUAACAUUUAAAAAAAAAUUAUUCCUAGAUCCAGGGCUCGCCAAAGCUUAACGUCGCCAACUUGCCUCCCUCUCCCCUACAUGCAAAAGAGGAGGUGAUAAAAAUUGAUGGCAAAUCGUGCGAAUUGGUUUGGACAAAUACACUAUUUAUAUUUGCAUCUUCUACGACUAUUGUAGUAUACGAUUUAUUGCAGGCAUACAGAAAAGCAAAUGACGGAAAAUAUUUGUGUAGUCACAAUCACAUUUAUAACCUCACGAAUUGCAAUUUCUAUAUGUGAGGAUAUUUAUAAUUGUAGUAACGGGAAUUUAGUAAAAAAUGAGAAUUUCUUCAGUGAUAUAAUAAAAAAAAUUAAAGGGAAUUUGGAAAAUCGUAAAUUUUUUUCGAUGCCAAAUGACUUAUAAAUGAAUGAAACGUCGAGAUCUGGUGUCAUCCCGAAAAAAAAAUUUUCGGCGAAAAUCGACCUUCUGGGACUUGGCCUGAUUGGCAAUAAAGGUAUGGUAAAAAUUAAUUAAAUUAAAAAUUAAAAAUUAAUUAUCGAAUUUAACCCAUUGCGGUCGCAUUACGUUAAUUUUAGGCCAAACAUUUUUUAUUCGAGAUGACAUCAGAUCUGGACGUUUCAUGCAUUUUUGAGUCAUUUGGCAUCGAAAAAAAACUCGAUUUCCCAAAUUGAGACAUUUCCGAUUGCAUGUAUUGUUUUACGCUCUUACGCUUUCUAAGGAUGUUACAAUGGUAGAAUUUUUAUGACUACACUGGAGGAAAACAUUAGUAAAUGCAGCUACCAAAUCUUUAGUAAUCGAAACAUUGGUAAAAUGUACACAUUUUUUGUACAUAUUACCAAAGUCUUGUAAAACUGAUGUCAAAUUCAAUGUACAUCCCUACCAACGUUUCGUAAAUUUUACUUCAUAGCAUUAGUAACCUUGAAUAUUUUCAUGCUUAGCAACUGUGUGUGUGCAUUCGCCAUUUCUUUAGUGGAAGUGGAGCGAUUUGGAGGUAAACAUUUUGUUUCUGUUGAUUCAUUGUACCUAAAUAUUUAUUUUAUUUUGUAGAAAUACCACUAUUCCACGUAUUGCGGUUGUUACAACGUAAGCCACAUCAAGGAGAGCGGAGAGCGUACGACAUGCAUUAUCGAGGAAUGGUGUUUCGACUUCUCGUCCGACUACGUAGGUGAAUAAGUGGGUAUAUGAAAAGCGCUGAUGGCCCAACUGCCGCUCACAACAAACUUCAACGAAAACGAAAAACUGCAAAGGUUUGUGUGAAUAUUAAUAUUAGAAUAUUAAUAAGAAUAAAAUUAUU